rnacentral:rRNA from 1 species
CGGGAGGCAGCAGUGGGGAAUAUUGCGCAAUGGGCGAAAGCCUGACGCAGCGACGCCGCGUGUGGGAUGACGGCCUUCGGGUUGUAAACCACUGUCGCGAGGGACGAAUCAAAUGACGGUACCUCGAAAGGAAGCACCGGCUAACUCUGUGCCAGCAGCCGCGGUAAUACAGAGGGUGCGAGCGUUGUCCGGAAUUACUGGGCGUAAAGGGCGCGUAGGCGGCCUGAUAAGUAUGAGGUGAAAUCUCACGGCUCAACCGUGAGGCUGCCUUGUAGACUGUCAGGCUUGAGCACGGUAGAGGCAGAUGGAAUUCCCGGUGUAGCGGUGGAAUGCGUAGAGAUCGGGAAGAACACCAGUGGCGAAGGCGGUCUGCUGGGCCGUAGCUGACGCUGAGGCGCGACAGCGUGGGGAGCAAACAGGAUUAGAUACCCGGGUAGUC